rnacentral:rRNA from 1 species
AGAGUUUGAUCAUGGCUCAGGAUGAACGCUAGCGGCAGGCUUAACACAUGCAAGUCGAGCGGUAGAUAUGCUUCGGUAUAUUGAGAGCGGCAAACGGGUGCGGAACACGUACGCAACAUACCCUUGUCUGGGGAAUAGCCCGAAGAAAUUCGGAUUAAUACCCCAUAAUAUAGUUGACCGGCAUCGGUUGAUUAUUAAAGAUUUAUUGGACAGGGAUUGGCGUGCGUCCUAUUAGCUAGUUGGUAGGGUAACGGCCUACCAAGGCGACGAUAGGUAGCUGGUGUGAGAGCACGACCAGCCACACGGGCACUGAGGCACGGGCCCGACUCCUACGGGAGGCAGCAGUGAGGAAUAUUGGUCAAUGGGCGGAAGCCUGAACCAGCCAUGCCGCGUGAAGGAUGAAGGCGUUCUGCGUUGUAAACUUCUUUUACGAGGGAAGAAAAGCAUGAUUUCUAUUAUGCCCGACGGUACCUUAGGAAUAAGCACCGGCUAACUCCGUGCCAGCAGCCGCGGUAAUACGGAGGGUGCGAGCGUUAUCCGGAUUUACUGGGUUUAAAGGGUGUGUAGGCGGGCUGGUAAGUCAGGGGUGAAAUCCCGGAGCUCAACUCCGGAACUGCCUUUGAUACUACUGGUCUUGAAUAUUGUUGAGGUAGGCGGAAUGUGUCAUGUAGCGGUGAAAUGCAUAGAUAUGACACAGAACACCGAUUGCGAAGGCAGCUUACUGGGCAAUGAUUGACGCUGAGGCACGAAAGCGUGGGGAUCAAACAGGAUUAGAUACCCUAGUAGUCC